rnacentral:misc_RNA from 1 species
GAUGAAGAACGUAGCGAAAUGCGAUAAGUAAUGUGAAUUGCAGAAUUCAGUGAAUCAUCGAAUCUUUGAACACACAUUGCGCCCGCCAGUAUUCUGGCGGGCAUGCCUGUCUGAGCGUCAUUUCAACCCUCAUGCCCCUAGGGCGUGGUGUUGGGGAUCGGCCAAAGCCCGCGAGGGACGGCCGGCCCCUAAAUCUAGUGGCGGACCCGUCGUGGCCUCCUCUGCGAAGUAGUGAUAUUCCGCAUCGGAGAGCGAUGAGCCCCUGCCGUUAAACCCCCAACUUUCCAAGGUUGACCUCAGAUCAGGUAGGAAUACCCGCUGAACUUAAGCAUAUCAAUAAGCGGAGGA